GCAGGUAGCGGCAAUAUUCGGGGGUGGUCGACAUCAAACCAGGCAACUUCUAAUCCGACGGUCGCAGGUUCGAAUCCUGCCAGAUGCG
rnacentral:tRNA from 1 species